AGAAAAUCCACAGGCAGAUAUCCAACAUGGUCAGAGCUAUGAGUUUACCUGGAAGCAAGAGACACACUAUAUAGUCCACAGGAGGGCUUCACUAUGUAGUUUCUAAAUCGGAGAAACAAUCCCGGUCUUCAAGAAACAUCAAAUAACAGAGCUCAUUGGGUACUUAAGAUGUCUACCUGCGUGUUGGCUGGUGCCCACUGUCCCUGCAUUAUCACUGGUAUGGAGGCAGAAGCCAGAUGCAUUUAUACGGUCUCUCCAUCUUACUGGGCCAGGGAAAAGGCGGGAAGGCAGAAGAGCAGGAGAAGUAAGUAACUGCCAGUCUCCACACGGUUUCCAGGCUCAGCUGUCCUGCCUGGGAGGCCACCAGGUUGGCAAGAAACAAGUGGGUGUCCUCGUGCCUGAGUCAUGAAACAGCAAGAACUUUCCCAUUACCCAAACACCUCAACACUUACAGAACAUUGCCGCAUUGUUCUGUGCCCUUAGGUCUCUCGGAGUGGGCCAGCUGAGGCCAUGCCAGCACGCACAGCUGUGAGGAUGCGUCUGCACCCACAGUUAUUCACCUGAUUGAGCACCCUGGGACACACUCUCACACUGGCCCUACCCAAGGAAAUGGGGCGGGCCUGUGGGGGAAGGGAUUACAUCAUUAUUAUUGUUAUUCACUUAUCAGAUGAUUAUUAAUUAUACUUCAAUUAAAGGCUUG
rnacentral:lncRNA from 1 species